rnacentral:rRNA from 1 species
UACGUAGAAGACUAGUGUUAUUCAUCUUUAGUAGGUUUAAAGGGUACCUAGACGGUAUGAUUAGUCUUAAAACAGGAUACGAUUAUACUAGAGUUAUAUAUGAGAAGGGGAGUAUUUAUGGAGUAGAGUUGAAAUUCUUUGAUCCCAUGACGACUGGUAACGGCGAAAGCAACCUUUUAUCUAAUAACUGACGUUGAGGGACGAAGGCUCGGGUCACGAACAGG